UUACCAACUCCGACCUCAGAUCGGACGAGAUUACCCGCUGAAUUUAAGCAUAUAACUAAGCGGAGGAAAAGAAACUAACAAGGAUUUCCCCAGUAACGGCGAGUGAAGCGGAAAUAGCCCAGCACCGAAUCCCUCAGUGUCACGCUGACGGGAACUGUGGUGUGUGGGACGCCACCAGUCGCAUCAGUGGGCACCGAAGUCCUCCUGAUCGAGGCUUCACCCAGAGCGGGUGUAAGGCCUUUGCAGGUGCCCUACUGUGCGGCCGCGAGCGUCUCAGGAGUCGGGUUGUUUGGGAAUGCAGCCCAAAGCGGGUGGUAAACUCCAUCUAA
rnacentral:rRNA from 1 species